AGGAUAUUUGUCUAAUAACCUACAGGAUCCUUCCUAAUUUAUUGAAAAUCCUUUUGAGAUGGAGAUGGAAACGGAAUUUGAGGAUCAGGUUUCACCCUUGGUGCUAAAGAUCUGAGAUGUGAAGUUAGACCAGGCCAACAGUUCGAGGUUCCUGAGCUCUGUCUGACGGAAGUGGAAUAUUCCUCAUCCUACGCACAAACUUCCUGGUUGUACAGCAAGUUGAGUAGCCCUGAUCUGAAAUGCGUGUCACCAGAAGAGUUUUAGAUUUCAGAUUUUUUUCAGACUUUCGUACAUUUGCACAGACAUUUAGAGGUAUUUUGGCAAUGAGGCCCAUGCUUAAAUAUGAAACUCCUUUAUGUUAUUCAUGCACCUUAGGCACGUAGCCCGAGCAUAAUUUCAUGCAAUAUUAUAUUUAAUUUUGUGCAUCAAAGAAAGUUAUGUGGUAUGGGAUUUUUCACUUGUGCCAUCAUGUCAACACUCAAAAAGAUUUGGAUUUUGGAGCAUUUUAAAUUUUGGAUUUCUGGAUUUGUAUUAUAUUCCACAGACUUUCUCUGGGUUCCUAACAUAGUCAAAACAUCUAUGUCUGUGGUGAC
rnacentral:lncRNA from 1 species